rnacentral:misc_RNA from 1 species
GUGAUUAAACUGUUGCCCUCUGUGCUGGCUCUGCAAGUGCACGUCGGUGACUUUCAUUCCAAUACCCUUGUGAACCUUUGGCCUCUUGCUAGCUUCGGCUGGCAGAGGAUUCUACAUACAAACUCGCAUGUAAUGAAACUCUUGUUGUGCACAAGCACUACUAUA